AUUGAACGCUGGCGGCAGGCCUAACACAUGCAAGUCGAACGAGUGGCGGACGGGUGAGUAAUGUCUGGGAAACUGCCCGAUGGAGGGGGAUAACUACUGGAAACGGUAGCUAAUACCGCAUACCAUCGGAUGUGCCCAGAUGGGAUUAGCUUGUAGGUGAGGUAACGGCUCACCUAGGCGACGAUCCCUAGCUGGUCUGAGAGGAUGACCAGCCACACGGUAAAGGAGACACGGUCCAGACACCUAGGGGAGGCAGUAGUGGGGAAUAUGGAACAAUGGGCGAAAGUCUGAUGCAGCCAUGCCGCGGUGAAGAAGAAGGCGUUCGGGUUGUAAAGUAAUUUCAGCGGGGAGGCGUUACCCGCAGAAGAAGCACCGGCUAACUCCGUGCCAGCAGCCGCGGUAAUAC
rnacentral:rRNA from 1 species